UACGUAGGGGGCUAGCGUUGUCCGGAAUCAUUGGGCGUAAAGAGCGUGUAGGCGGUCCGGUAAGUCCGUUGUGAAAGUCGGGGGCUCAACCCUCGAAUGCCGGUGGAUACUGUCGGGCUAGAGUGCGGAAGAGGCGAGUGGAAUUCCUGGUGUAGCGGUGAAAUGCGCAGAUAUCAGGAGGAACACCUAUUGCGAAGGCAGCUCGCUGGGACGUAACUGACGCUGAGACGCGAAAGCGUGGGGAGCAAACAGG
rnacentral:rRNA from 1 species